rnacentral:rRNA from 1 species
UACGGAGGGUGCAAGCGUUAUCCGGAUUUACUGGGUUUAAAGGGUGUGUAGGCGGACUUUUAAGUCAGCGGUGAAAUCUCCGGGCUCAACCCGGAAACUGCCAUUGAUACUAUUGGUCUUGAAUGUUGUUGAGGUGGGCGGAACGGGUCAUGUAGCGGUGAAAUGCAUAGAUAUGACCCGGAACACCGAUUGCGAAGGCAGCCCACUAAGCAAUGAUUGACGCUGAGGCACGAAAGCGUGGGGAGCAAACAGG